GCUUGCUAAGACUGAUGGCGACCGGCGCACGGGUGAGUAACACGUAUCCAACCUGCCGUCUACUCUUGGACAGCCUUCUGAAAGGAAGAUUAAUACAAGAUGGCAUCAUGAGUCCGCAUGUUCACAUGAUUAAAGGUAUUCCGGUAGACGAUGGGGAUGCGUUCCAUUAGAUAGUAGGCGGGGUAACGGCCCACCUAGUCUUCGAUGGAUAGGGGUUCUGAGAGGAAGGUCCCCCACAUUGGAACUGAGACACGGUCCAAACUCCUACGGGAGGCAGCAGUGAGGAAUAUUGGUCAAUGGGCGAGAGCCUGAACCAGCCAAGUAGCGUGAAGGAUGACUGCCCUAUGGGUUGUAAACUUCUUUUAUAAAGGAAUAAAGUCGGGUAUGCAUACCCGUUUGCAUGUACUUUAUGAAUAAGGAUCGGCUAACUCCGUGCCAGCGGCCGCGGUAAUACGGAGGAUCCGAGCGUUAUCCGGAUUUAUUGGGUUUAAAGGGAGCGUAGAUGGAUGUUUAAGUCAGUUGUGAAAGUUUGCGGCUCAACCGUAAAAUUGCAGUUGAUACUGGAUAUCUUGAGUGCAGUUGAGGCAGGCGGAAUUCGUGGUGUAGCGGUGAAAUGCUUAGAUAUCACGAAGAACUCCGAUUGCGAACGCAGCCUGCUAAGCUGCAACUGACAUUGAGGCUCGAAAGUGUGGGUAUCAAACAGGAUUAGAUACCCUGGUAGUCC
rnacentral:rRNA from 1 species